rnacentral:rRNA from 1 species
UACGAAGGGGGCGAGCGUUGUUCGGAUUCACUGGGCGUAAAGGGUGCGUAGGCGGUCGGGUAAGUCUGAUGUGAAAUCUCCAAGCUCAACUUGGAAAUGGCAUCGGAUACUAUUCGGCUCGAGGAAUGGAGGGGAGACUGGAAUACUUGGUGUAGCAGUGAAAUGCGUAGAUAUCAAGUGGAACACCAGUGGCGAAGGCGAGUCUCUGGACAUUUCCUGACGCUGAGGCACGAAAGCCAGGGGAGCAAACGGG